GGCUAGGGAUCGAACCUGCAACCUCCUGGUUCCUGGUUGGAUUCAUUUCCGCUGCACCACAACAGGAACUCCUGUUCAUGACUUUUUAAUUUAUCAACUAUUUACUGAUUUCAUACCCUGCUCAAGGCAAGAAAUGUAUGUAUUGAUAAAAAGUAAGAUUUCAAAAGUGCUAUUAAUAAAAAUGCUUGGAUAUUUUUAAAAUGCAAUAUUCCUCAAGAUACACCUAACCAAAUGUUUGCCUGGCCACAAUCCUAUGAUGGAGUGUGUGUGACUUUAAUAAGUUAAAUUAUACAGGAUGGGCUGAAUCAUGUCUCCUCCACCCCCAAUUCAUGUUAAAAGCCCCAAAUCCCAGUACGUCAGAAUCUAAUCAUAUUUGGAGGUAAGGUCUUUAAAGAAGUGAAUAAUUUAAAAUGAGGCCCUAAGGGUGAGAUUCAAGUUCAAAUAUGAGUUGUGUCCAUAUUAAAAGAGACCGAGGAACCAGGGAUCUGGGCACAGAGGGAAAGCCAUGUGACAAGUACAAGCUGAGAAGGCCUCGGGAGAAAUCAACCCUGCUGGCAUCUUGAUCUUGGACUUUCAGCCUCCAGAACUGUGAGAAAAUUAAUUGCUAUUGUUUAAGCUACCUAAUCUGUGGUAUGUUGUUAUGGCAGCCCUACCAAACUGUGAAACUAGGAACUCACCUUUGAAGACAGUGAAACUUUUGCUGAUAUUAGGAGGGAGCAUUUCAGGAUUGAAAGUGUGGAUAAAUAUGAUUUAGAUUCUGACAAAAUAUAUUAGCCUCUUGAAAAAUUUAAGCUGAAAUUUAAUGCGGCUUGGUGGGGGAGAUGGGCUACACCAGGUCUCUGACCAAUUACAUGAGUUUUGUUUAUUGAAGCAAUGGGCAGAGGCCAUGUUAAUAUUUAAUCGUGAAAUAUCUUGCCUUUGGUGCAUAGAGGAAAAAAAAAGCCAUUUAGAAAAAUUUUGGCUUUUCUCUUCUGAUUUUAUAACCAUAUCUAUGGUGAUAGGCAAAGCUAUUUUGAAAAAUAAUGAACAUAUAAAAUGCAAACCAGCUACAUUUAUCCUUCCACAAGAACUUGUAAAGAUGCCUGAAAAGCACAGAAAAAUGCUCCUUUUAAUGUUUUUAGGAGGAUAGCUUAAGGUUGUUUUCAAAGUUUCAAGAUCCAAAUGCAAAGGACUCCACUUCUUUACAAGUGGUUUAAUCCCAUGGGUUGUGUGGUUAUAAUCCAGAUGACUCUCUUGAGGGGCAGGGAGAAGCAAUGCCAAUAUUUUUUUUGUGUGUUGAAAGGACCAUAAAGGAGAAACAGAUCAUACUUUGUGGGUUGAUAAAUAGCUCAACACACACAGCCAGAAGAAUGAGCAUUAUGCACAUUGCACAGCUAACCUUUUUUUUUUUUUUUUUUUUCCAAGGCAGAACUGAGGGAGAGGCGUUGCGGUUUUGCUCUUUCUCAGUUCUGAUCCCUUGCUGGGUGACACGGCAAGGGUGAAAGGAUAUGUCAGAAUUUAAAAUGUGACAUCAAAACAAAACGUUUAAAAUAGGACAAAGAUCUAGGUAGGGGACUGUAUUUUUUUUCUCAAUUUCCAUUUUAAAAUAAAAAAUUGAAAGUGGCUUCAGAAAUUAUUUGAAGCAAAACAUGGGUGGUCCCAUUUAGAGGACAUGUGAAAAGAAAACUGAAGUAGGAAAAAUGUUGUGAAGAAACUGCUUUGCUUGGGCUGAUUUUUUACUUGAUAGAUAACUUGGGGAAGGAUCUAUUUGCAGAAGAGCUCACUCUAAUAGUGAGCAGGGAGUGCAGGAGAAGGGGAUUUGUAGAUAAUAAAAGUAUACCAGAUGCCUGUGAAAAUGCCGUUGUGAAUACUCCGGGGAGUUCAAGAGCAUUCACACACAGAGAUCCUCUCUUCCUUUCUCUCUUGUUGUGUGAGGUAUUCAUUAACAGCGAGGGAGCACAAACUCACUUCACAUGUGUAUAUGGGUGUGUGUGUGUAUGUGUGAUCACAUAUAUAUAUAUGUAAUCCUGGGAGAACGUCACUGGUGAUAUUUUCUUUCCUCUUAUCCUCCAGAAUUGUCUGGUCUAGAUUGGCCUAAAUGAACUUUUAUUUUCUCAUGUAAAUGAAAACACCAUUUCUUAAACACAUCAAAGCCCAUUUGAAUUGGGUCACAUCAUAAUUUAUUUUAUCAAACAGACUUUAAUUUUUCCCAGAUUUAAAAAAUUUCCAGAUUAUUCCAAAUUUUGUGUGCCAAAUUCUGCCCUCAGUUAUGCACAUGCAGCUAAUUGCAUGCACGUAACUGAGGGCAGAGUUUGACUUUUGCAGCUGAACGUUUCUGGAGCUCUGAUUUAUUUUCAUGGAAAAGCACAGACUUUAAUCUCUAAAUAAAAAAAAAAAAAAAAACUUCAAAAUGAUUUACAUCACUUUUCCAAAGUUGCUUUCAGGCACUGAUUAGUUAAUCCACCACGCCCUGGUGUAAUCACUCUUUAUCUUUUUGCAAUUAGACUAGUGUUACACAGAUGACCUUUUAUUUUUUUUGCUUAAAGCCACAUAAGCCAGGCAGUGACAGAAUUAAAACUGAGCAUUCUGCGUUCUGUGAUGAUAGCUGGAACUAUUUAUUAACAUUACAUAAUUGUGUGAUGAAUUUGUUUUCUUGAUUGUUGCUUCUUAUUAUUCAAAAUAAUAAUGGCUUUAUAAUAUUUCUUCCCUAAUUAUAAAGGUAAUAGAAAUAACUUAAGAAAUAUGGAAAAGUGUAGGGAAUAAGAUAAUCACCUGAAUUCUAACCAGUACAAGAGGGCCGUUUAUAUGCCUCAUCUUCUAGGAAUGUACUCUUCUCCCCUAAAUUUAUGUUGAUAUUAGACAUGUUAUUUUAACCAGCAUGUUUCACCAGGGAAAUAUUAAAAAUAUUUUCACAUCAGGUAAUACAGACACUCCUCUUUUAAGGCUCACACACUGUUCCAUUGGACCAGCAAGUCUUCAACCAAUCAGUUAUUUUCACAAGAAGAAAUACGAUUCUUUACUAUAAACUCUGUUGUUAUGGACACAUUUGUUAAUUAAAUUGAUAACUGGAACUCUUUUCUCUUUUACCUAAGGCACAAAUCUCAGAUUACUACCAAAUCUAUUUGUUCUCUCUUAAAACUGUAAUUCGAGUUGCAUAUCCAUAGAAUUAUACUCAGACAUGAAACUUGAAAAUGUCAUGGCAUUGGAAAAGAGACAUUUAUUCAGCUGGCAUAAGUAAUGUUUGAUGAAGGCAGAUCUCCCUCAUGGGUCAGGAUGUGUACCACCUACCACAUGACAUGCAGACCUGAAGGCAGGGCCCUUGCAUAGACGGCUCCAGAGAGAAAAAGAAGGGAAAGGCUGAGUUGACUUGCUCAGUGAUUUCUUCUACAUCCACCAAUUUGACCAAUUGAUUCUUCUCCCAGAAGAAAAGGAAGCUAAGAAUUUAACAGAGAAGAGAGACCUCCCUCAGGAGGCUGUGAUAAGAAUGGCCCUACUGGGAGAACCAUGAGAUGGUGGGAUCCACUGCCAAGAGGAGUAUCAGGAAAAGACUUAUGGAAGAGGUGACCUGAGUUUGUGCUGGAUGCAAAGGUAGGGCGUUCAACAGCGAGAGAUGGGGAAAAGGGACUUUUAAGUAAACGCUGCUCCAAACAACUUGAUUCUGUUCCCUCAUGAAGAGUCUAAUGAAAGUUCUUCCUCUUUUUAGAAAUAAUCUCUCUAUUUCUCUCUUGUGAUUGGCCUUUCUUUUGUUUAUAAUUGUUCUCAUCUGUUGUUCAUAUUUUUUACUAAUAUUAAUGCUAACGGUGGAAAUCAUGGGUUUUGUAUAACUAGCACGAUAUGGCCUCCCUCGCAAUGGCCCUAUUGGCUAUCUCCUGUGCUCUGCCCUGAAAAACAUGAGGAGACUGCAUUUCAGUGAAUUUCUUUGGUCUGUGGUUUACCAUAGCAUAAGUUUAUGAGGUUGAGUUUUACAAAUUCAAUUUUAAUCAGAUAUUAUUUUUGUCCUAAGCACACUCUUAAUACCACAAAUAAAGCUUUCACCAGUUUAGAAGCCACCUAUAACUCAAUAAAUGUAAUUAGGUUUAAAUGAUGCUGAGAUUUCACACGGUCCCUGCUCAGCACUUGUGAUUUUAUAUUCUGGGCCUCUGGUGUUAGAAUAGUGGUCAACUAGAUAUUUCCCCAUUAUAAGCUGCAGUAUGUUAAGGACCCAGCAAUUUAAAAAGUAAUAAUUUUUGAUUUGGCAACAGCAGAAUAAAAUGAAACCAUUGCCAGCAUUAAGAUUGACAUGACAGAUGGUACUUUCAGGUUGCAGAUGUGAAUGUACAUUGGAGCUAUUUUGCCUGAAUUUCAUUUGACUUUCCUGUGGUCGUUGAAAUGGGUAUCUUUCAAUCUUUGUGUCAGAGGAAGUUGCUUUGUAUGGGACUCGAGUGAUAAACCUGUCAAGUACAAUGAAGUUUGUGAUUCCACUGGGCCCCAUGAUAAAAAUUGGGUUUGAACCUGCCAAACUCAGUGAAUUUGGCUGAUUCUGGGGAUAGGACUUACCGCAUAGAUUUGGAUAAUGCCUACACAUAUGUUUAAAAUAACCUUGCUUCAAAUAUGUUUGUGUUUAAGACUCCUUCAGUAAAGGAUUUGUAACCGUAAAUAAAUACAAUGGAAAACAAGUUUAAACAAACGGUUUAAAUUUAUUUAUCCAUUUAGUGUUUGAAAUACUCUAUUCUCCACCCAAAGCUACAUUUCCUUCUACCACCAUCUCUCCUUUUUAAAUCCAAAAUGUUCUUAACAUUAAUUUAGAAGAUGUGUAAAGCCAGGCCAAGGAAUCCGAGACAAGACUAUAAGAUUCAGUUAGAAAGUGUAAGGAAAUAAGCCAAAUUGGAAGCUAUGCCAGUCCCCUGGAUGAUGUGGAAAUUCUGGAUAAAGACACUGCUUUGGAGAUGUAACAGACUGGAAGUGACGACAUCUUCUUGUUGAGCCACAGAGUCACAAUAUUUUCCUGGCCUUGGGUACCUUGCAGUUUAUCUGGAGAGAUAUGGCUUGUUUGGAUGAAAAUGAAUGAUAAUACAUUUUAUCAAAAUAUCAGGUGCUGGGCCAAAGAGUGGGGCAGAUAACAGGUGUACAACAUCAAGGGCUAAUGUGAUUGGGAACAGAUUAUGAAGAGGGUAGGAUUUAAUUUAGGUCUGACUCUCAAAUUUUGUUUUUAACUUGGGGAAUCUCAUAAAGGUGGAAUUGAAGUGUGUAUAGUGCUUAAGCUGAACAGGUGUUAAUAAUCUUGCAAUAACUACCAUUUGUUAAGAACUAUGUAUCAGACAUUGAGGUCAGGUGCUUGCAUUAUUUUACUCAAUCUUUGACUAAAUAGUACUUUAGUCAAUUUUCUGUGACUUAAAUACUAUUUCCUCCCAAUGUCCCAGAUGGCAACUUCAAGGACCCAAAAUCACAUAGCUACUAUAGGAUAGAGUCCAGACUCAAGGCAAAACCAGUCUGAUUCCAAAGUCCAAAUGCUCAACGAUGCUGUUAGUGCCAGCCUAUAGCUAAUGAACAAUUAUGGGCAAGUUGUAGUAAGGCAGUCAAGGUUAUGGUACAGAGAAUUUCUUUCCUAACAUGAAGCAUAUGUUAGUUUGGAAAGAAAUGUCCCACAUGGUAAUUGUAAAAACGACUUAACAAACAAAAGAAUGUUUAUCACAUAAUGUCAAAUGUAAAAAGAAUAUAAUAAAAGUGUACAUGGUGUUUACAAUUAGGUCAAAACUCUGCAUAUAGACAAAACCCUUUUAGAAAAGUUUCAAAGGAAAAUAGUUUUCUUGGAAUGGUAAGAGUCAUAGUUAAUUUUUUAUUUGAAACUCUUUUACAGUGUUGAAAUUUCAUCAUUAAGAUUUUUAUAAAUUAAAUUAGAAAGAUUAAAGCUAUUAAACUAAGCCAGUGAGAGAAAUGUAAACCUUGGUGCUGGAAAGUGAAAAUUUUCAUUCUCAAGUGAAAAUUACAGCUUGUUUGGAAACAUUAAAUCAGUUUGGGAGGUCAGGACAUAAUUGAAACUCUGGCAGAUAAAGUUGAGUUUAUGAGGGGUGAAUUUUUAAUUCUUUUACUAGGAAAUGUCUAUCUUUCCUCUUCAGAAAUCUGCAUUAAAUUUGCCAUUUCAGAAGAUGAGAAUGGUUAUGGAAUAGGACCUCAUACUCCUGCUUUCGUCUUCACGCACCUGGCUCUGAGUCCCCUUCCCCGCCCCUCCAAUUUAGCAAUUAGGCACCUUCCACUCUUGCUGAGUUCUCUUCCACCACACCUGGUGUCUGAGCAACUCCGCUUGACUUCCAGGACUCAGAAAGGAACAAGAGCUUUUUCAAAGGGAAGAGAGAAAUGGUGUGAGUUUUUUUCAGGCUGUAAUAGUUUCUUGAGUGUGAGAACUGCUUGAUGAUUCUAAAUGCUCGAAGGAGGUAUAGUUGAAAGGUCUCAGGAAGCUGAAUUUGAAUGUGUUGGUAGAAUUUACAGUUUUGUUUUGACUCCUUUUUCUUUAGGGACAGUGAAAAAUUGUAAAUCAUCUUAU